GAUUUAUUAGAACAAAACCAACCGGCUAUGCCGGUAGUUUGAUGACUCUGGAUAACUUUGCUGAUCGCACGGCCUUGAGCCAGCGACGUAUCUUUCAAGUGUCUGCCUUAUCAACUUUCGAUGGUAGAUUAUGCGCCUACCAUGGUUGUAACGGGUAACGGAGAAUCAGGGUUUGAUUCCGGAGAGGGAGCCUGAGAAACGGCUACCACAUCCAAGGAAGGCAGCAGGCACGCAAAUUACCCACUCCCGGCACGGGGAGGUAGUGACGAAAAAUAACAAGCUGGUCUCAAUGAGUUCCAGCAUUGUAAUGGGAACAAUUUAAAUCUUUUAUCGAGGAUCUAUUGGAGGGCAAGUCUGGUGCCAGCAGCCGCGGUAAUUCCAGCUCCAAUAGCGUAUAUUAAAGUUGUUGCGGUUAAAAAGCUCGUAGUUGGAUCUAGGAUUAGGGCUACGGUCGUUCAGCUUGGACGUACUGUAUGCCCGACUCCUUUUCUCUAGUAUUCGAUUGUUGCUCUUAAAUGAGUGACUUUAGUUGCUGGAACUUUUACCUUGAAAAAAUUGAAGUGCUCAAAGCAGGUU
rnacentral:rRNA from 1 species